rnacentral:lncRNA from 1 species
CUGGAGGCUGAGAGCCCCGCAGAUCCUCUUCCUCCUCAGCAGUCUCCAAACAAUGGAAGGAAAGAGAACACGUGCCUGUUAGACUCAGUACCCCACCUCUCUCAUUGGGGUGCCUAUUGUGCCCAGGAAGGGAAAGCAGCAGUUAAACCUAGGACCUCAGGACUGGGUUCAGACAUCCUGGGUGUGGCCGCUUUUCCUUCUUGGAGAUAAACAAGGAAUGGAGAUAAACGGGCCGGGCUGCGUGGAUCGCGCUGUCAUGCGGAGUCACGAGCACGGCAUGUUUGUCUCCUGCUUCCUCUGUGUCUGGCUGGUGACUCCGCCUCCUUCCCUGUCUGCAAGUCUCAGUUCCUAAUUCCAGGUGCCUGCCUUGAAUUCCUGCCCUGACUUCCCUCCAUGAUGGACUAUACGCUGUAAGAUGAAAUAAACUUAUUCCUCUCUAAAUUUAUUUUGGUCAUGGUGUUUAUAUCACAGCAAUAGAAAACAAUCUAGGACAUAAACUGGACUUAAAAAUGACUUUCUCCAGGCACUCAGGAUGUAGAGGCAGGUGGAUCUCUGUGCAUUCAAGGCCAGCCUGGUCUGCAGAGCAAGUUCGAG